rnacentral:rRNA from 1 species
AGUGAACGCUGGCGGUAGGCCUAACACAUGCAAGUCGAACGGCAGCACAGUAAGAGCUUGCUCUUACGGGUGGCGAGUGGCGGACGGGUGAGGAAUACAUCGGAAUCUACUUUUUCGUGGGGGAUAACGUAGGGAAACUUACGCUAAUACCGCAUACGACCUACGGGUGAAAGCAGGGGAUCUUCGGACCUUGCGCGAUUGAAUGAGCCGAUGUCGGAUUAGCUAGUUGGCGGGGUAAAGGCCCACCAAGGCGACGAUCCGUAGCUGGUCUGAGAGGAUGAUCAGCCACACUGGAACUGAGACACGGUCCAGACUCCUACGGGAGGCAGCAGUGGGGAAUAUUGGACAAUGGGCGCAAGCCUGAUCCAGCCAUACCGCGUGGGUGAAGAAGGCCUUCGGGUUGUAAAGCCCUUUUGUUGGGAAAGAAAAGCAGCAGGUUAACACCCCGCUGUUCUGGCGGUACCCAAAGAAUAAGCACCGGCUAACUUCGUG